rnacentral:lncRNA from 1 species
AAAACAAAAUGUUAUUGGGAACCAAUCCAAUAGUCGCCAAACAAAUUAUGAUAAACGUAUUGGACACGAGAACUUAAGAUAUACAGAAUAGAGGCGUGAAGAGCUGCAUCAAAACAAUCGGUUGAUGGAAUACGAGAAGAAGAAUAAGAAGACAUAAUCGUUACAUGAGAAUGAAUAGGCUGUAUUGAUUUUUUGAAAAAUCACUUUUCAAUAGAUGGUAAAUAGAUAAAUAGAAAAACCUAACCAAAUAUUUUUUUUUAAACUCAAUACGGAAUUUACGUCUUAAUUUUGCAACAAGAAAUUCAAAAUGGAAUGACUAAAUAGUUAAAAUAAAUCUUUUUUUUUAUAUAUAUAAUCUCAAUAGAAUCUUUUUAAAGUGAAUUAUUAUUUGAGAGAGAAAAUUUACUAUAUCAACAAUGCAAUAACCGACAGAAUAAUAUUGAAAAAUCACUACAAAAAAGUUCAAUCUCAAUACAGUAAUUUUUCAGAAACGGUUCAAAUGAAUGCGGAAAAUGUUGUCUAUAGAGCUUGCACUUUUAAAAAAUUCUUCCGGGAGAAUUUCAAAAUGUUUCCUCAGAACAAUUUUAAAACAAUGUCCCCGAACUUUUUCAUUCUCGGGUGACGUAUUAUUAAUAAUAUUCUUUACGCCAAUAACGGAAAAUACAAUGAAGAAUGUUUUUUUCAUAGCGUGUGGGCAUCGAACAUAUUAUUUUACAAAAGUAAUAUCACGAACCGAAACGACGACAUUAUCGAUCGUCUGUAUAAUACGUAUGUUAAGUUCAUAACCUAAGUCCCUAUUUAUAUUAUACGUUUAUAACAUGUAACAUGUCCGUUCACGUUGUUGUCGAAGACGGUCCUAAAACGUUUUUUAUUGUGUUUAAUUGACGGAGGGGAAGAGAAAAAACGAGCGUACAGUCAUCACGGACAUCACUCGUACCGCAAGCCAGAUGCCGAAUUUCCUCAUUCUACGGUGAAAACACUUGACCACGUAACGGCCGCGGCGGUGUUCGAGUGCCCUCGGUAAAUUAAUACCGCAGCGUAAAAAUACACCGUCCCCGGAAAUUAUUAUACGGAACUUUACACUGUUCGCGGGUCAACACACCGCGAUCACAAACUCUUACAAGUCGUAAAAACAAAUCGAAAAAAAAAUAUAUUCUAGACUGCAGUGUGUAUAUUUUAUACGGGCGUAGGUAUUUAUUUUUAUGGUUUCGCCGGGUCGUGUCGCAGUAUAGUGAGAAAAUAACGCGAUUACUAGGUAGGCAGGUACAUUUUACCCGCGUUAUGAUAUUAUUUUCAAAACGGAAUACGAGCGUAAAAACGCACGCGGUUAAGAAGUACGGACAAGUAUAAUAAUAAUUCGCGGGAGAGAUUCGCGAAGCCACUGUAAUGUUAUAAUAAUACGCCCAUUUUAUGUCCCCGGAGAGUGAACUUCGGAAGAUUAAACUCGUUUAACGCGUGGUAUAGGUAAAUUUUGUGCUGCAGGCAAUAAUAAAAAAAUAUACAAUAAAGUAUAAUAGUUCUUUUGAAACGACGUGGAAAACGUUCAUAGAAACCAAAAGCCACAACCGGCCGCGGCUGGCGUUCGAAAAAUAUGCAAAAAAUUACACCUACUGUACAGGGCGUUAUAAAUUACAUGUUACUGCAGUUAUGAUACAGUCAGUAUACUGGGCAUUCUUUCCGUACUCUCAAAACUCGCAUAAAAUAUCGUAUGCAUAAUAUUUUGUCCAUCAGCGACACGUCCAAUUGCAGUUCUUCUUCGACGAUUUGUUUCGUCGUAUAUAAUUGCGGUAUACAUUUACUUACCGAUAAUUUAUAUUAUUUAGUCACCGAUUGCCAUACGACUCUGUGAGCACUCGGUCGAUGACAAAAAACAAAAAAAAAAAAAAAUCGUAAACAAAAUGAGUCGUUUCAGUCAUAAUAGCCAAUACGGUAAACAUUACUCAACGCUACGUUUUUGUUCUUAUUCAGUGUAUUUAUAUAUAAUGCACGUAUAUAUAUAUAUAUAUUGUAAUAAGAUCGAUCGUUUGGUAUUUUGUUUGCUGUUCGGUUAUUCGUUCG